ACGCAACCCUUCGGGGUUGAGUGGCGGACGGGUGAGUAACGCGUGAGAAUCUGCCUUCAGGUCGGGGACAACCACUGGAAACGGUGGCUAAUACCCGAUGUGCGCAACGUGAAAGAUUUAUCGCCUGAAGAGGAGCUCGCGUCUGAUUAGCUAGUUGGUGGGGUAAAAGCUCACCAAGGCGAUGAUCAGUAGCUGGUCUGAGAGGAUGAUCAGCCACACUGGGACUGAGACACGGCCCAGACUCCUACGGGAGGCAGCAGUGGGGAAUUUUCCGCAAUGGGCGAAAGCCUGACGGAGCAAGACCGCGUGAGGGAGGAAGGCUCUUGGGUUGUAAACCUCUUUUCUCAGGGAAGAACACAAUGACGGUACCUGAGGAAUCAGCCUCGGCUAACUCCGUGCCAGCAGCCGCGGUAAUACGGAGGAGGCAAGCGUCAUCCGGAAUUAUUGGGCGUAAAGCGUCCGCAGGUGGCACUUCAAGUCUGUCGUCAAAGACUGGGGCUUAACCCUGGAAAGGCGGUGGAAACUGAAGCGCUAGAGUGUGGUAGGGGUAGAGGGAAUUCCCGGUGUAGCGGUGAAAUGCGUAGAGAUCGGGAAGAACAUCGGUGGCGAAGGCGCUCUACUGGACCACAACUGACACUCAGGGACGAAAGCUAGGGGAGCGAAUGGGAUUAGAUACCCCAGUAGUCCUAGCCGUAAACGAUGGAUACUAG
rnacentral:rRNA from 1 species